rnacentral:rRNA from 1 species
UAGGGAAUCUUCGGCAAUGGGGGCAACCCUGACCGAGCAACGCCGCGUGAGUGAAGAAGGUUUUCGGAUCGUAAAGCUCUGUUGUAAGAGAAGAACGUGUGUGAGAGUGGAAAGUUCACACAGUGACGGUAACUUACCAGAAAGGGACGGCUAACUACGUGCCAGCAGCCGCGGUAAUACGUAGGUCCCGAGCGUUGUCCGGAUGUAUUGGGCGUAAAGCGAGCGCAGGCGGUUUAAUAAGUCUGAAGUUAAAGGCAGUGGCUUAACCAUUGUUCGCUUUGGAAACUGUUCAACUUGAGUGCAGAAGGGGAGAGUGGAAUUCCAUGUGUAGCGGUGAAAUGCGUAGAUAUAUGGAGGAACACCGGUGGCGAAAGCGGCUCUCUGGUCUGUAACUGACGCUGAGGCUCGAAAGCGUGGGGAGCAAACAGG